rnacentral:rRNA from 1 species
UGGCUCAGGACGAACGCUGGCGGCGUGCUUAACACAUGCAAGUCGAGCGAUGAAGCUCUUCGGAAGUGGAUUAGCGGCGGACGGGUGAGUAACACGUGGGUAACCUGCCUCAUAGAGGGGAAUAGCCUUUCGAAAGGAAGAUUAAUACCGCAUAAGAUUGUAAUGUCGCAUGACAUAGCAAUUAAAGGAGUAAUCUGCUAUGAGAUGGACCCGCGUCGCAUUAGCUAGUUGGUGAGGUAACGGCUCACCAAGGCGACGAUGCGUAGCCGACCUGAGAGGGUGAUCGGCCACAUUGGGACUGAGACACGGCCCAGACUCCUACGGGAGGCAGCAGUGGGGAAUAUUGCACAAUGGGGGAAACCCUGAUGCAAGCAACGCCGCGUGAGUGAUGACGGUCUUCGGAUUGUAAAGCUCUGUCUUUAGGGACGAUAAUGACGGUACCUAAGGAGGAAGCCACGGCUAACUACGUGCCAGCAGCCGC